AUGGGGGGACCUGCUCCUGCUCCCGCUCCGCCGUCGGAAUCGGCAGAGAUGGUGCAGGAGAUCCUGCUCAAGCUGUCCACCAGGGACGUGAUCCGCUGCUGCUGCGUCUCCAAGCUAUGGCGCAGCGUCGUCGCCGACCCAACUUUCCGAACCCUCCACGCCGAGGCCGAGGCCGACCACGUCUCCGCCGCGCGCCCCUGA
rnacentral:rRNA from 1 species